GAUGAACGCUGGUGGCGUGCCUAACACAUGCAAGUCGAGCGAUUCUCUUCGGAGAAGAGCGGCGGACGGGUGAGUAACGCGUGGGUAACCUGCCCUGUACACACGGAUAACAUACCGAAAGGUAUGCUAAUACGAGAUAACAUGCUUUUAUCGCAUGGUAGAAGUAUCAAAGCUUUUGCGGUACAGGAUGGACCCGCGUCUGAUUAGCUAGUUGGUGAGGUAACGGCUCACCAAGGCGACGAUCAGUAGCCGACCUGAGAGGGUGAUCGGCCACAUUGGAACUGCGACACGGUCCAAACUCCUACGGGAGGCAGCAGUGGGGAAUAUUGCACAAUGGGCGAAAGCCUGAUGCAGCAACGCCGCGUGAGCGAUGAAGGCCUUCGGGUCGUAAAGCUCUGUCCUCAAGGAAGAUAAUGACGGUACUUGAGGAGGAAGCCCCGGCUAACUACGU
rnacentral:rRNA from 1 species